rnacentral:siRNA from 1 species
CAACGACACGUGCCUUUG